UUGAACGCUGGCGGCAGGCCUAACACAUGCAAGUCGAGCGGUAGCACAGAGAGCUUGCUCUCGGGUGACGAGCGGCGGACGGGUGAGUAAUGUCUGGGAAACUGCCUGAUGGAGGGGGAUAACUACUGGAAACGGUAGCUAAUACCGCAUAACGUCGCAAGACCAAAGUGGGGGACCUUCGGGCCUCAUGCCAUCAGAUGUGCCCAGAUGGGAUUAGCUAGUAGGUGGGGUAACGGCUCACCUAGGCGACGAUCCCUAGCUGGUCUGAGAGGAUGACCAGCCACACUGGAACUGAGACACGGUCCAGACUCCUACGGGAGGCAGCAGUGGGGAAUAUUGCACAAUGGGCGCAAGCCUGAUGCAGCCAUGCCGCGUGUGUGAAGAAGGCCUUCGGGUUGUAAAGCACUUUCAGCGGGGAGGAAGGCGAUAAGGUUAAUAACCUUGUCGAUUGACGUUACCCGCAGAAGAAGCACCGGCUAACUCCGUGCCAGCAGCCGCGGUAAUACGGAGGGUGCAAGCGUUAAUCGGAAUUACUGGGCGUAAAGCGCACGCAGGCGGUCUGUCAAGUCGGAUGUGAAAUCCCCGGGCUCAACCUGGGAACUGCAUUCGAAACUGGCAGGCUAGAGUCUUGUAGAGGGGGGUAGAAUUCCAGGUGUAGCGGUGAAAUGCGUAGAGAUCUGGAGGAAUACCGGUGGCGAAGGCGGCCCCCUGGACAAAGACUGACGCUCAGGUGCGAAAGCGUGGGGAGCAAACAGGAUUAGAUACCCUGGUAGUCCACGCCGUAAACGAUGUCGAUUUGGAGGUUGUGCCCUUGAGGCGUGGCUUCCGGAGCUAACGCGUUAAAUCGACCGCCUGGGGAGUACGGCCGCAAGGUUAAAACUCAAAUGAAUUGACGGGGGCCCGCACAAGCGGUGGAGCAUGUGGUUUAAUUCGAUGCAACGCGAAGAACCUUACCUGGUCGUGACAUCCACAGAACUUUCCAGAGAUGGAUUGGUGCCUUCGGGAACUGUGAGACAGGUGCUGCAUGGCUGUCGUCAGCUCGUGUUGUGAAAUGUUGGGUUAAGUCCCGCAACGAGCGCAACCCUUAUCCUUUGUUGCCAGCGGUUAGGCCGGGAACUCAAAGGAGACUGCCAGUGAUAAACUGGAGGAAGGUGGGGAUGACGUCAAGUCAUCAUGGCCCUUACGACCAGGGCUACACACGUGCUACAAUGGCAUAUACAAAGAGAAGCGACCUCGCGAGAGCAAGCGGACCUCAUAAAGUAUGUCGUAGUCCGGAUUGGAGUCUGCAACUCGACUCCAUGAAGUCGGAAUCGCUAGUAAUCGUAGAUCAGAAUGCUACGGUGAAUACGUUCCCGGGCCUUGUACACACCGCCCGUCACACCAUGGGAGUGGGUUGCAAAAGAAGUAGGUAGCUUAACCUUCGGGAGGGCGCUUACCACUUUGUGAUUCAUGACUGGGGUG
rnacentral:rRNA from 1 species